rnacentral:tRNA from 1 species
CGGAACGUAGCGCAGCCCGGUUAGCGCGAUAGACUGGGGGUCAAGAGGUCGGGAGUACAAAUCUCCCCGUUCCGA